rnacentral:rRNA from 1 species
ACGCUGGCGGCACGCCUAACACAUGCAAGUCGAACGAAGUAGCAAUACUUAGUGGCAGACGGGUGAGUAACAUGUGGGUAUCUGCCCUUUGGCCUGGAAUAACACGAGGAAACUUGUGCUAAUACCGGAUAAGUCUUUACGGAGAAAGCUUUAUGCACCAUUGGAUGAGCCCGCACUUGAUUAGUUUGUUGGUGGGGUAAUGGCCUACCAAGACUGUGAUCAAUAGCUGAUUUGAGAGGAUGAUCAGCCACAUUGGGACUGAGACACGGCCCAAACUCCUACGGGAGGCAGCAGUGGGGAAUCUUGCACAAUGGAGGAAACUCUGAUGCAGCGAUGCCGCGUGAGUGAAGAAGGCCCUUGGGUUGUAAAGCUCUUUCGUCGGGGAAGAAAAUGACUGUACCCGAAUAAGAAGGUCCGGCUAACUUCGUGCCAGCAGCCGCGGUAAUACGAAGGGACCUAGCGUAGUUCGGAAUUACUGGGCUUAAAGAGUUCGUAGGUGGUUGAAAAAGUUAGUGGUGAAAUCCCAGAGCUUAACUCUGGAACUGCCAUUAAAACUUUUCAGCUAGAGUAUGAUAGAGGAAAGCAGAAUUUCUAGUGUAGAGGUGAAAUUCGUAGAUAUUAGAAAGAAUACCAAUUGCGAAGGCAGCUUUCUGGAUCAUUACUGACACUGAGGAACGAAAGCAUGGGUAGCGAAGAGGAUUAGAUACCCUCGUAGUCCAUGCCGUAAACGAUGUGUGUUAGACGUUGGAAAUUUAUUUUCAGUGUCGCAGCGAAAGCGAUAAACACACCGCCUGGGGAGUACGACCGCAAGGUUAAAACUCAAAUGAAUUGACGGGGACCCGCACAAGUAGUGGAGCAUGUGGUUUAAUUCGAAGAUACGCGCAGAACCUUACCAACACUUGACAUGUUUGUCGCGACUCUAAGUGAUUAGAGUUUUCGGUUCGGCCGGACGAAACACAGGUGCUGCAUGGCUGUCGUCAGCUCGUGUCGUGAGAUGUUGGGUUAAGUCCCGCAACGAGCGCAACCCUCACUUUUAGUUGCCAUCAUUAAGUUGGGCACUCUGAAAGAACUGCCAGUGAUAAGCUGGAGGAAGGUGGGGAUGACGUCAAGUCCUCAUGGCCCUUACGUGUUGGGCUACACACGUGCUACAAUGGUAUCUACAACAGGAAGCAAGACUGCGAGGUCAAGCAAAACCUUAAAAGAUACCUCAGUUCGGAUUGCACUCUGCAACUCGAGUGCAUGAAGCUGGAAUUACUAGUAAUCGUGGAUCAGCGUGCCACGGUGAAUGCGUUCCCGGGUCUUGUACACACCGCCCGUCACACCAUGGGAGUUGGUUCUACCUUAAGGCAAGGUUUCAAACCCUUGACCACGGUAUAGUCAGCGACUGGGGUG